GAAAAACUGAAGGGUAAAUUUUGGGGUAUUACACAGGGUAGUCUUCAGUUAGUUUGAACUUGCGUUCAAAAUUCAGGAAGAGAAUACUCCAUCAAGUGAUCACAAAUCUAGAAUGGUUGUCCCUUACCACAAAAGGAGUGAGAUAGUCACAACUUGUGCAAUAAAUCGAGAAAGCAACGUCAUAGUAUUUGCUUAAGAACAAAAAGAAAAGAUGAAACAAAAU
rnacentral:lncRNA from 1 species